rnacentral:rRNA from 1 species
UAAUUUAGUCUUGUUAGAGAAACUUGUUUUAUAAAUGAUACAACACGAAAAAUCUUACUUGCUUUAGUAAAACAGUUUGUAUACCGUCAUUAUUAGAUAAUUUUUAUAGAAAAAAUUAUUUUAAUUAAGAAUUUAAAUAUAUUAGAUCAAGGUGCAGCUUAUAGGUAAGUAAAAAUGAGUUACAAUAAAAUUUAUUUAACACGAAUUAAUGAUUAUAAACAAUUAUGAAGGUGGAUUUAAUUGUAAUGAAAUUUUAAUAAGAUUUUAUGAUAUUAGAACUAAAUUGU